rnacentral:tmRNA from 4 species
GGGGGAGUAAAGGUUUUGACGGUGAGGAUUGGGGUAUAGGUUGCGAGCCGAGGAUGUCAUCUGCCCUCGUAAAAUAUGGUGGCAAAUUUAUAAACGCAGGUAACACUGUAGAAGAAUUCUUUGAUAAGGUGAAGAUGGUUGCUGGAGAAUAUGCUUCCAGACUUCCAGUAGCUUCAGGGAUUCUUGCUCCAAGCUUAAGCUAAAGAGCACACUAGCCGUUUUUGCCGAUAGGGGCGGGGCCUAGUGUUAUAUUAUCGGAUACUCAAUUAAUCUUUUCUGACGGUUAGUUGGGGAAACUAAAGAUCGGGAUUACUUUGAGAAGUCUUCGCUUUGAGACAACCUCAAAGGACAAUUAAAUAGAAGCUACGCUCGUAGUAACUUAUACAGCUUCCUUUUCGGACGGGGGUUCGAUUCCCCUCUCCUCCAUUU